rnacentral:rRNA from 1 species
UACGUAGGGUGCAAGCGUUGUCCGGAAUUAUUGGGCGUAAAGAGCUCGUAGGCGGUUUGUUGCGUCGGCUGUGAAAUCCCGAGGCUCAACCUCGGGUCUGCAGUCGAUACGAGCAAACUAGAGUGUUGCAGGGGAGACUGGAAUUCCUGGUGUAGCGGUGGAAUGCGCAGAUAUCAGGAGGAACACCGAUGGGCGAAGGCAGGUCUCCUGGGCCACUACUGACGCUGGAGA